GAUUUCUGGCUUGUCACAUUUUGCCGGCCACGGUUUCGUGUGUUAGUGCUUGAUGUUCUGGCCAUCCUUCCAUUGUCACUGGCUACUCUUCAUUGAUUGGUCAGUGGUUUUGGAUCUUUUACUUUGAAAAAAUUAGAGUGUUUCAAGCAGGCUUUAUGCUAUGAAUACAUUAGCAUGGAAUAAUAAUUUAGGACUUCGGUUCUAUUUUGUUGGUUUCUAGGACUGAAGUAAUGAUUGAUAGGGACAGUUGGGGGUGCUAGUAUUCAGCGGCCAGAGGUGAAAUUCUCGGAUUCGCUGAAGACUAACUUAUGCGAAAGCAUU
rnacentral:rRNA from 1 species